ACAUUCUCUGCCUGGCCUUUGUACGCAGCUAUGAGAAGGCGUUCAGAAAGUGCAGCGACUGCAUCUUGCUGGCUCAUGAAUUAGGAGAGAAAGUGGUUUUCAGGAGGGCAAUAGACAAGUUCCUUCAGCUCAACACGAUGCCACUGGCCCGGGCAGGCACCCACGGGUAAAGAUGCUCCUGGUCAUCAGAAGGUGCCUUUAUUACUACGCCAUCUUCGGGACCUAGGGAUUACAAACAAAGUUGCCAUCAGCACCGCUCAGCACACAGGGCAGGCCAUACACGUCAUCUCUCUGAUUUUAGGGCAUCUGGUGAUCGCUCACUGCAGGGGACAGAAGCUGAGUAAAGACAGGACAAGCAGGAAGCACACACUCUGCACACCGAAGUGCCUGAACUUGCAAGUAGAAGGCAACAAAAUGUGCCAACCCUCCUCCCUUCUUCCCACUUCAGGGACAUUCUCCAGAGAACUAUGGCCAAAACUGUGAGGUCUGCUCAGCACUUCCAUCCCCGGCAGCAGAGGCCUGACAUAACCCCAUCAACAUCACCUGGGUUCCAGGCCUGCCUUUGGCAGGUAACUGUACUGCGCAUGAUGACAAAGGGCCUGCUGGCCACGUUUUGUGGAUCCACCACAGCCAACCCGCUGAUUCCCCUGGCACGUGAAGAUGCCCGUGGACCACACCCCACAGAGACCCUCAGGGGUGGGUUAAAUCCUUGGGGUGCUCCGCCAGCCUUUAUUGCAGUUCUUUUGCUUUAUCCUUGUCUCACUGGAAACAGUGUAGCUUCCUGAGUUCUGGGACAGAUGGAGAGCUGGGCACAGGCCCGGGCCAUCUCCCAAUUCCUGCCGGAACAACCCACCUUGGGAACAACGCAGAUGCUAGAAACACUGACAGCACACACUACCAAUUGCAUCAGGAGGGCCUGGUUUUGUUGCUACUGUGCUUAAUAAGAAAUAAAAGGCCUACUAAAACCACCUACAGGACGCAAAGCCCCACUCAGAGCAGUGGUCUGGAGGUAGUCACUGAGGCAUAUGGAAGCUGUUGCAGUAAAAGCUGAGUGACAUCUAGAAACCUGUGACAUACUGUACUAUCAAGAAAAGCUGCUACGAAAUGUAAAAACAGCAUCCGCGGCAUAAAAAUAUCAUUGAAUGAAGUUACGACUGACAGAAAGCUUGUGGUGUAGAGACCCCUUCUUUUUACAUGGUACAAUAACUACUUGUUGACUGCGUAGCACUGCUGGAUCAACAGAGUCACCGAGCUGAGGCUACUGAAAUCACAUGCUCAAAAUCUAGACCAGGAGUCAUUGCUGAGCCUUCUGUGGUCCCUUCUUUCCCUGGACAAGGCAAUCAUGACCUUAGCUGUGCUCUUACAGGUUUCUAUAAGCUCCUGUUAUUGGGUUGAUUUGUGUCCCCCCAAAAUUCAUAUGUUGAGGCCCUAAGCCUCAUUAUGACUGUAUUUGGAAAUAAGGCCUUUCGGAGGGAAUUAAGAUAAAAUGAGGUCAUAAGGGUGAAGCUAUGAUCUGAUACGAUUAUUGUUCUUAUAAGAGAGGUAUCAAAGAAAGUCUUUCUCUCCCCCGCCCCUCAUACUAACCCUCAUCAUACUCCUGUCCACCUCAACCUCCUACCCCAAUCUCAGGGAAAGGCCAUGUGAAAACAGAGCAAGAAAAUGGCAACCUGCAAGCCAGGAAGAAAGUCCUCACCAAAAACCAAACCCUUCUGGACCUUGAUCUUGAACCUGCAGCCUUGAGAACUGUGAGAAAAUAAAUUUCUAUUACUUAA